rnacentral:ncRNA from 1 species
UAUAUAUUGAGUUUGAUGAUGGCUCUGAUUGAACGCUAUCCAAGUGCUUGACACAUGCUAAUCGAACGUCUAAUUUAAUUAGAAAUAAUUUAAUUAGAAGUGGUGUACAGGUGAGUAAACGAUAUUAUGGCUACCUUGGAGUAAGGGACAUUAAAAUACCUUAUAUAAUACAAAAAAUAUGUAUAAAAAGAAAUUUAUUUUCGCUCCUAGAUGGAAAUUAAUAUCUCGGGCAGGUAGUAGUUAAGGUAAUGGCUUAACUAGCUUAUGUCCGUAGUCGAGACUGAGAGGUCGAUCGAUCACAUUGGGUCUGAAAAAACCCCAAUACGUAUAGUACAGCAGUGAGGAAUAUUGGUCAAUGGCCUAACGGCUGAACCAGCAACUUGGGGGAAUGGAUAUAUAUAUUAGAUAUAAUAUAUAAUACCGACUCUGUCGGAUAAAGUUCUAGAUAGAAGAAUGAUAAUGACAAUUUUCUAUCUAUAUGUCUUGACCAAAUCUUGUGCCAGCAGUCGCGGCAACACAAGGGAGACUAGUGUUAUUCAUCUUUAUUAGGUUUAAAGGGUACCUAGACGGUAUAUCAAGCCCCAAAAGGGAACGGGUAUACUAGAGUUUUAUGUGAGAGGCAAAUAUAGUACUAUUGGUGUAGAGAUAAAAUUCAUUGAUACCUCUAGGCACGGGUAACGGCGAAGGCAAUCCUCUAUGUAAAAACUGACGUUGAGGGACGAAGGCUUGGGGAGCGAAUAGGAUUAGAUACCCUAGUAGUCCAGGCAGACAAUUAUGAAUGUCAUAGAUUAGAUUAUAAUAGUAAGAAAUAAGAAAGAGAGUAAGAUAAUUACUAAAAAAAAAGGUUAGAUGUCUUCACCUCCCUAUUUUUUUGAUCUAUAAAUGAAAGUGUAAGCAUUCCACCUCAAGAGUAAUGCGGCAACGCAGGAACUGAAAUCAUUAGACCGUUUCUGAAACCAGUAGUGAAGUAUGUGUGCGACAAGAAGCGGAUAUUAGUAAUGUGGUGCGAUUCCACUAGGUAUUCUCUACCUAACACUACCUAC